GACGAACGCUGGCGGCGUGCUUAACACAUGCAAGUCGAACGGAAAGGCCCUGCUUUUGUGGGGUGCUCGAGUGGCGAACGGGUGAGUAACACGUGAGUAACCUGCCCUUGACUUUGGGAUAACUUCAGGAAACUGGGGCUAAUACCGGAUAGGAGCUCCUGCUGCAUGGUGGGGGUUGGAAAGUUUCGGCGGUUGGGGAUGGACUCGCGGCUUAUCAGCUUGUUGGUGGGGUAGUGGCUUACCAAGGCUUUGACGGGUAGCCGGCCUGAGAGGGUGACCGGCCACAUUGGGACUGCGAUACGGCCCAGACUGCUACGGGAGGCAGCAGUGGGGAAUAUUGCACAAUGGGCGGAAGCCUGAUGCGGCGACGCCGCGUGCGGGAUGACGGCCUUCGGGUUGUAAACCGCUUUCGCCUGUGACGAAGCGUGAGUGACGGUAAUGGGUAAAGAAGCACCGGCUAACUACGUG
rnacentral:rRNA from 1 species